AACGAACGCUGGCGGCAGGCUUAACACAUGCAAGUCGAGCGCCCCGCAAGGGGAGCGGCAGACGGGUGAGUAACGCGUGGGAAUCUACCCAUCACUACGGCACAACUCCGGGAAACUGGAGCUAAUACCGUAUACGUCCUUCGGGAGAAAGAUUUAUCGGCGCUGGGUGAGCCGGAGGUGGAUUAGCUAGUUGGUGGGGUAAUGGCCUACCAAGGCGACGAUCCAUAGCUGGUCUGAGAGGAUGAUCAGCCACACUGGGACUGAAACCCGGCCCAGACUCCUACGGGAGGCAGCAGUGGGGAAUAUUGGACAAGGGGCGAAAGCCUGAUCCAGCCAUGCCGCGUGAGUGAUGACGGCCCUAGGGUUGUAAAGCUCUUUCGCAGGUGAAGAUAAUGACGGUAACCUGAGAAGAAGCCCCGGCUAACUUCGUGCCAGCCGCCGCCGUAAAAC
rnacentral:rRNA from 1 species